UUGUUUUAUUAUAUUUCAUACGAAUUCAUUUGAAUAUAAUACAUUCUGAAAUAAAAUGAUAUUCAUCUUCAACAGAAUUACAGUUGCACAUAUUAGUUUUCAAAGGUACCAGGAUUUAAAUUUAAUACGCCAGACGCGCGUUUCGUCUACAUAAGACUCAUCAGUGACGUUCAUAUCAAAAUAGUUGUAAAGCUUAACAAGUACAAAGUUGAAGAGCAUCGAGGACCCAAAAUUCAAAAAUGGUGUGUCAAAUACGACUAAGGUAAUCUAUUCCUGGGAUAAGAAAAUCAUUGGUUUUUUCGAAAAAUUAAAGUUUUGUAACAGGAAAUUUACAAAAAUGACCAUAUAAUUGAUAUUCAUGUCAACACCGAAGUGCUGACUUCUGGACUGGUGAUACCCUCGGGGACGAAACGUCCACUAGCAGUGUCAUCGACCCAGUGGUGUAAAAUAGUUAUCAAAGGUACCAGGAUUAUAAUGUAAUACGACAGACAAGCGUUUCGUCUACAUAAGACUCAUCAUUGACGCUCAGAUCAAAAUAAUUGUAAAGCCUAACAAGUACAAAGUUGAAGAGCAUUGAGGACCCAAA
rnacentral:lncRNA from 1 species